AUGAUGUGGAGUAAUGGACAUCUAACUGAAGAGCUGUUAUGGAAGUGCUUGAUGGGUCCAGAUGCUUGGGAUGUUGAAAGCACCCUGGACUAUCUGAGAGAGACACAGACAAGAAUGAGAACUUGCUAUUUAAGCACUGAGCCAUUGACAGGUGUCAAUCCACAUAAAAGGAACCAACUCUUCCUCUCCCUUCCUUGUCCUCAGUCUGCAAAGUUUUAACAAAUUUAAGUCACACUUCCAAACAAGGCAAUACAGAAAUAUUCCCUAAAUGGUGGACUGGUGACUUAUUUAACACGGAGGCCUGGCAUGGCUAACUGCCUCUUAGAUCUCUUAGAAGACAGCGCUGAAAAGGCUGUGCCAUUGCACCACAAACAGCAACAAAACUGCUCUGCAGCUGAAACAGAUGGUUGCGGAUGGGGAUGACAAUACUAAUGUGAACUGUGGAUGCUUUCCUUCUGUAUUGCAGCCCUUAGGGUGAAAAUAAGAAUGCCUUAUUGCAAGUGGCCUUGUGUGCUGCCUCUUCCUUCUCCACAAACUUUGGCAAAACCAUACUAUCAAUCACAUGGAAGAGGAUGAUGAGAUAUUUGAGAAAUUUCAGAAGAAAUCCUGUCUCAUCAUUGCAUGAACAAAGCUGAUUUCCUUCCCCCCAACAGGAAUGGUCAAUGCAUAGGAAGAAAUUCUUCAUCUUGUCUCCACUAGCUGGCUGAUCAAAUUUAACAGCUUUUUGGCAUGUCUGACCUGCUUUGAAGCCCUACGUUCAAAGCCAAGAAAGACAGAGCAAAUGUUAUGAUUCUUAAAAAGUCACAAAGGACUACAGGUUGAAGGGAUUGAUUUGAGAUUAGAAUAAUUAAACGAGUUUUGCUUGAAUAAACAACUACUGAUGGGUUGGGAGUGCA
rnacentral:lncRNA from 1 species